GAUCCUGGCUCAGGAUGAACGCUGGCGGCGUGCUUAACACAUGCAAGUCGAGGGGCAGCGGGAUUGAAGCUUGCUUCAAUUGCCGGCGACCGGCGCACGGGUGAGUAACGCGUAUCCAACCUUCCGUACACUCAGGGAUAGCCUUUCGAAAGAAAGAUUAAUACCUGAUGGUAUGAUGAGAUUGCAUGAUAUCAUCAUUAAAGAUUUAUCGGUGUACGAUGGGG
rnacentral:rRNA from 1 species